rnacentral:lncRNA from 1 species
GCGAUCAUACAUUUACAUAAUAAGUUUAAAUUUUAAAUCUGAAAAUUUUAUAACUUAACUUUUAAAAUUUAAAAUAUCAAAUUUAAUGUUUAAACUAAAAAUAAAAUAUAAAUUUAGCAUUUUAAAAUCUCAAAUUUAAAAUUUAAAAUUUAAAAUUUAAAAUUUAAAACUUAAAUUUUAAAUUUUGAAUUUACAAUUGAAUCUCAAAUUAAAACAAUUUUAAAAUUUGAAGAGAAAAUUAAAAUUUAAAUUCAAAAUCUAAAUUUAGUUUUGAUUUUGCCGGAUUCAGAUU